rnacentral:lncRNA from 1 species
UGGGAUUGUAUUUUACAAUGUUUUAUGUUAAUUGGUCUGUACAUCAGUCUGUAAAUUGUCUCUCCCUUGUCCUGCUGUCCUUAUGACAACAGAAAAUGUUCAUAUUUUACUGAAAGGGCAAGAGCUAAAAUCCCCUAGUUUUUAGAAAAUUCUCCAAGUGUCUCACUGAAUCCCAAAAUGAAGCAAAGAAUAUUUCACAUAAAAAUUAACCAAGUCAUUGAAAAAUCUGAAUCAUUUUUUAUUGCAUUGCUUUUCAGUGACCCCUGAAGCUCCUCAUCACUGUGCAACUCAGAGUUCAGCUAUCUCCAUGAAAUCCAACCACUGCGAUAUCUGCCCUUGCAUCACUAAUAACAGCAGUACUGCUGUGGAGAACAGACACUAAUUUCCCCAAAACCCUGAAUGGUCAUAUUGGUUUCAUAAAGGUGAGAUUUUGGGCAGCUCAGAAACCCUUGCCGUAGGUUUUCUGGAAACCUCAGAAUGCUAUCUAAUUCAUAUGAGCCCCAUGAAAAUCCUGUGAAGUGCUUGUCACAGUAUUUAAGACGGGUCACUCUUGUUCUUUUUUGUGGAGAUUCUCUGUAGUUGGUUUCCUUGAAGACUCUCGCAUACAAGUAACAGGGUUGAUAACAAAUAACCUGAGGAGAUAAAGGUAUUGCUCAGAAGCACCUGGAGCAAUAACACCUGCCAGCUAAAUACAAGAGCUGUAUUAAAAUGUCUUCUUGGACAGAAUUCCCACACAGAGAUAAAUACCGAGAUCAAGGCUCCAAGAGGGAAGAAUGACAAGUAAGGAGAUAUAAAGUAAAGUAGGGGGGAGAAAAGAAUGUGGAAAAAAGAUGUAUCAGUCGUCUCCAGUACUUACUGUUAUAAAACUCUAAGUCAAGUUGAAUUUGACAUUUAAAUUUUAUAGACAGGAAAUACCCCCUGAAUGUUAUCUUGCACUAGGUACCUUACUGGAAUACAUUUUUUGUUAUUUUAUCCUCUCAGGCAUGGAUAAAAUGAAAUGGGAUCCUUCAUUGGAUCCCUUAAGAAAUCUGACAUCAAAAAGCAAAGAAGAUAUCUUGCACAAGAGGAAAAAACAACUGGGAAAAAAAAAUCCAAAGAAACAAUAUUUGUCUCAUAUCCUGAACAGGAGUCACAUCACACCAAAGAAGCUGACAAUAAUGUCUCUACACCCCCAAGACUGCAUGACAACACCUCCCUUGCCACCUCAGUCCCUCAACUGAGCAAAAGGAUUUCCAGGCCUAUGAAUAUGCAGAAGUUGCAACACGGCACAAAUGUUAUGAUUACUAGCGCUGUAAAUAAUGGAGCUAGGAUUAUCUGAGAAAGAUGUGAUUCUACAUUGUUCAGAGAAGAAACUACCUCCUUCUGUGAGCCGCAUCUCAAUAUUUUGAGACCAUCACAGUUGAGUUGUGGGAAUACUGGUGGAACAAAAUGAAGUAUACUGAAAUUUGAAAUGGAGCUUACACACUUGAUGAAAAAAGAGUUCAGAUAGCAUCAGCUAUUUCCUGAAUUUCUGCAGAAGUCCACAUAUUUUAUCUAGAGGACUUGGAGUCUGAAAGUAACCAUCAGAUAUAACCACUAAGUUAAAUAACUACAGAGAAGAAAAAUAUUUUUUGAAAGAAAUUAAUACCUUCUCCUUCAUUUCAUCUGCUCAGACCAGCCAACCAAACCAACCAACCAAACAACUCCCAACCCCCCAUAUAUAUAUAUAUAUAUAUUUUUAUUUUUUUUUUUUAAAUUUUCACUGCUCAUGAUUUAACCCUCUCAAUUUGUCCAGUCUAUUUUGGUGAUUUUUGUAUUCUCUUGACCAGGUGAUGGUUUCAAUCCUGUGGUUUCAAUGCUGUGACUGUACUGAUGUUAUUUUUGUGCAACAACUAACUUUUGCUGGCUUGUGCUUUAGCAAAACAAUUCCUCCUCUUUCUUGCAACUGAAUAGUCAUAUACUAAGGUACAUGCCACUGACAUAAGUUGAUAAUCUGCUAUAGUUCAUUAAAAAAAUCCAUUCUGUACUUAUACCAAGAGAGAUAAGUGGGGUGCCUUCCAUGUAAGAAACUGCCUUAAAAACAGUUUCUGUCUCUGCUAGAAGCUUCAAUAACAUGCUGAACUACUGAUGAAACACUUUGUACAUUGCCCAGCAAAGAAAUGGAUGUACUAACACCUUUCACAAUUAUUUUUUCCCAGUUGAAUUACAUAUCCAACACAAGGCAGCCUCUCAUUUCUCACAAUCACAGUCUUAUCUCCAAAUUCAGGGUGGGGAUUUGGACAAAAUAAUGAUGUACUAAAUUUUUUUCUUUAAAUGCAUGUCUCAGUAAAAUAUUUUUGCUUUAUAU